UCCCGGGUCCCCCAACGGUCGCGGCGCUGCCGCCCGCCGCGGCCUCUGAGGCGCCGCUUCCCCUUCGCCCCCCGGCGGGCUCAGCGCCGUCCCCGCCGCCUCCCGGAGCCCCAGCCGUGCCGGCUGCUGGGGGCCGGCCCUUCUCCCGCCGCUCAAACGUGAGGCGGAUGCAGCGGGGGCAGAAAGGCCAGCGCUGCCUCCGUGCCGGCCCAUGGCACACACGGGAUGCGGGAGCAGUGAUGUCAGAGCCAGCUGGAAGGAGCUGCAGCUUUCCCGGCCCUCCUGCAGCCCCAAGGGAUGGGAAAGUUGCCUAAUAGGUCCCUGCUGAAGAAGCUGAAGACAUCACUGAUAGAACCAGCUUGUUGUUACGUGACAAUGCAAUAUCCUGCCCAACGGAUCAGUCAAUAACCAGCCGUCUUCUUAAGUAAUGGAAAAAGGCAAACAUGUCUUCAUGUUCCUGAUGUCAGGUUUUAUACCAUAGCAACAAAGCUGCAUUAGCACACUUUUUUUUUUUUUUUUUUUGUAGAUGGGCUCCAUAUCUAUGUUCAAUUUUUAAUUCUAUGUAAUAGACUAAUCUACUGUAGCAUCUAAUAAACUAAAUCUGUUAAGAGUUC